rnacentral:lncRNA from 1 species
GGACGGGUCAGUGGGGGCUGAUGGGAAGCUAGUUUGUCGUCCCGCGCCUUCCAGCGCCGCCCAAUCAGGUCGCAGAUCGCCGGGCGCCGUUUUGGGAGUACGUUGGCGUGCGGAGCAGCCCGCCCUGCCUCCGGAAGUUACGCGCUCAGUCCCGCCCCCGGAGAAUCCCGGGCGCCGGCCGGGGUUGGGUCUACAGUGCUGGUUACCCUGAGCGAGUGAGUCGCGGUCUCAGCGGCUGUAGUCCUUGUUGACUCCGGCAGGUCGACGGUCCGAUCCCCGGCCUAAGGUCGCCUGGCCGCUCUGUUUCUCGCUUCUGCCGGUUCCUUGAGGUGAACACGCCCGCAGACCUCGAGUGGCCGGCCGAGACGGUGCUGCGCAGCAGAUUCAUUGUCGCGAAUGCCUAGUGGACCUCGCCGUCGAACCAGCAGCCCGCCGGGUUGUGCAGAAGCAAGCCUUCCUGACUGUGGGGGUUCCUUGAAGUACGUCAUGGAUGAUGGAGGACCCCAGGGCCAUCCUCACUGUUACAGGAUUUGUCCAAUGCACCCAGGUGGCCACAUGAUUGAUGUUUUCUCAGGAAUAAAGCAUUACAUUGAAGAAUCUUACAUAAUUCAGAAGGUUUGACAUACUAUGGAGAAAGAAAGGAACAUGGAACUUGGAAAUUAGCUGAACUCUAACUGUGAAGACACAGCUGAAGCUCUGGGAAAUAUUUUCUUGCUUGAAGUGGAUCUAUCCUUGCUUCCAGAGGGCAGCAGAGGAGGGGAAAUCAGCUUGGACACAUUUUUCAGGGCAUCUUGGUUUGUUGAAAAAGAGGUAUCAUGAUGCAUUUUAAUGUGCUUUAAGUUUAUUUUAAAAGAAAAGCAAAGAGUGAACACCAAGCAUGAAUGCCAUAGUAUUUACUGCUUUCAACCAUCUUGAACUGUUUGGUGCCAUUCAAAUCAAAGUUCUAUAAUAAUGAGAAGGUCUAUUCUACUGAAUUACUGUGACUAGAAUUAAACAUGUACUCAAACGCACACACUCACAUUCACACCUCCAUCUUUGAGCAUCACUGCCAUAUAAACUGCAGUGAAUUCCCAAACUGCAACUGAUCAUGUUAUUUAAUGAGUCAGAAAGCACUUUUAAAAUCACCUGAGGGAUGUGGCAUCUAGGUGGCUCAGUUGGUUAAGCAUCUGGACUCCUGAUUUCUGCUCAGGUCAUCAUAUCAUGGUGAGAUCAAGCCCCAGAGGUCAUGAUCUCAUGGUCGUGAGAU